UUUCCGCCGUUCCCUCCUAUCUUACCAUAACAAAAAGUCCUCCCCCCGCCUCCUUCAUCACUCUCACUUUUUCUGUGCUUUUCUCUCUCUCUCUCUCUCGAAAUAGAGUAGGUAGGAAAAAAAGGGUCUCAAAAUGAAACCAAAAGACGGAUUUUUUAAAGGUCCCUAUAAGGGGUUUCUCAUGAUGCAUGUGAGUAGUAGCAGCAGGAGCAAGGUGAGCCUGGUCAACUACCCUUUGGAAAUUGGGAGGUGUGACCAAAAAGAAGCCAUUAGUGGCUCUGAAAUUGGAGCUGACAAUUCUCCUGGAGCAGCAGCAGGUUCAUUCUAAUCGGGUGCUAUCCUAUCUGAGCUUUUUACCUUCUCUCUUCACCUUCAUCUAAUUUCUACCACACUUGUUUCUUUUUCCUUAGAGUCUUCUUGACCUUGUAAGACCUUUUCUUGACCUUGUAAGACCUUUUCUUGGCCUUGUAAGACCUCACACCCUAUCUCUUUUCUUUCUUUUUGCUUUUGUGGAAGACCCUAUAUCAGAAUCCACUGAUAUAGAGUUUCAUCUCCUUCUUUCCCCGUUACCACCCAACUCAUCUUCUCCUUCCUUGUCUAUCCCUCCUGAGCUGUUCCAGUUUUGGCCAACCAUGUAACAUUUAAUUAACAUUGAGUGUGUUUGGAUGAAGUUUAAAAUAGCUUUUCAGAGUUUCUCUACCAAAACAAAUUUCUUUGUUUUAGGUAAAGAAGUUUUCAAAAGGUCUUUUAAACAUGUAUCCAAACAUGUUCACUAUGAUAUGUUAUGCUAUGGAUUCAAAGAAAUUAAGGACCUUACCUUACGUUGCCUUCAAAUGUGCUAGCUAUUUGGAGACCAUGGAUUCCAAAAGUACUAACAAUUGUGGUAUAUUAUUUUGUUGUAUUUUUGUUUGAGAGAAAUCAAUGUAGUUUGUGCAGCAGCUAGCAUGCUUGGUCGUGGUCCUUAAGGUAAGUUGUGAAGAGUGGCCAUAGUUAAUAAAUCAAUGUUGCUUGUAUUGAGAGGAAUUGAAAAGCCAUAUGUAUGAUAUUCUGUUUACACAAUCAAUUUGGCUUGUAUCAUUGUGCGCAGAAUAUUUAUGCUGUUGCAGACAUCUGUUUCGUUGUUUUAUAUGUUGUUUGGCUGAGAAAGUGUGCAUAUUCUUUUAGAUCUAAGCUAGAGUCUUCCUCGUGACUGUUCCAAUGUACUAAUAACCACUGUAUUAUUGGAGUUAUCUCUUUCUCUCUCUGAGAAAUUCAGAAGCUUUGUGCCCAUUUCUUUUCUUUUUAAAAAAGCUGAAAAUAAUAUCCACUGCUCAGCCAGCCUCAUAUAAUAUAAUAAACAGCAAUCUCCCCAUGUUUGUUUCGCCGGUGGACAGGGAAUGAUGGAAAAUAAUGGGGUAAUGCACCUUUGUUUGUGUUGCACUAUAAUGUUUUGCUUUUAUAAGAUAUUUGUUAUGUUUUAAAGGUUUAAGUGUGUGUUUGUUUGGUUUGUAGUUAUAAUUUUUAAGACACCUCAGCGGAAAAGUUUGUGUCUUGUUGCUUUGGGUCACACUAAGGUUUUUACACUUCAAACGUAAAACCAAACACACAUUAAGUUGUCAAGCUUGUGUUGUUACAUGUGAGAAUUAUUUUUUGUCAUUACUAAUGUUGUCUUGUGAAGCAUUGGGACCAUUAUGAGCAUGUGUGGGAAAGAUUCUUUCCCAACAUUUCAACCGUAUACUUGGAACAACUGAAAUUUGUAAAAUGUUUUGAUUUCCUGAAAUAUAAAUGUUUACAGCGUAUUUGAAAAUUUGAAAACUAGUUUAUGUUUCCACGAUUUUAUUUUUCUUCUAAAGCUGAUUUGGUAGGUUAAAGUUUUAUUUUGUUGUCUUCAAAUGAAAUUAAACAUUUCAAAAUAAUUUUUUAGCAUACUUAUACAAACAAAAAUUCAGUAUGAUGAUAAUCGUGAUUAUUGAAAAAAAAAUUGAUUUUCGUAGUUGUUCCAAACAUGCUCCUAGGUGGAGAAGUGGGGGGUUAGUUUAUUUUUUCUGAGGCCUUGUUUCUUUGAAUAACUCUCAAGUCAUCUUCGUAAUAAGAACCUUUGCUAAGUGUGUUAUAAGGGAUGGAAAUAGAGGGAUUAGAGUUGCUUUGAUGCUUUUGAUUUAUAUUUGUUGUUUCAAAUUUUGGAUUUGAAUUUGAAUUAUUCUUCAGUUUCUAAAUACUAGUAACAUAAUUAGGAUUUUCAGAGGAAAUCUCUUUAGGAAGCUAUGGGACAAUUGAAGGGACAGUCAUUUAAAGGAUAUGUUGCGAGAGCAAAUGUAGAAGGGAGGAAGUGGGGGCAGUCCUCCAGGAGGAUGACGUGGUAGUGGUGGCGGGGGAAGCACCAGUGGGUCAGAUGGGAUGUCAGAUGAAACUCUUCAAAUUGUUUUAGCAACAGUUAGCAUUAUAUUGAUGUAUACUUUUGUCAUCGAUGGGUUAAAACUUAUAAAGCUAGCUAGGAACUGCAUCAAGUUUGUGUCUGGUAAAGGCCAGAGUGUUCAAUUGAAGCGAGCCACAUACAAAUGGGUAAGAUUAUACAAUAGUAUCAUUGUCAAGAAUGGAUUGGAGAAAGCAUCCACAUGUUGAUUCCACCCUGAUUUCUUCCGAGGUCUCCUUAGGCGGCAUUACAUUAAAUCAAAUCCACAAGAAUAAUUUUUUCUAUGUACCUAUUCAUAUAAACAGAUAGUUGGGGCAAAAAAUGCAUUCAAUAUCAAUUUUUUUGGCAUACAUGUUGCUAAAUUUUCACCAUUUCAAAAUGCUAAAGAAUCUAAAGUUCAAUGUGAAUUCAAGAGUCUAAAGAGUUUUACAAUGAGUGACUAGGGUUGGUGGUACUUAUCUAUCGAGACUACAUUCCUGUCUUUUAGUGGAUAGUGUCAUGGUUCUAAAUUGCAGUUGUGGGCAUUGUGGUUAUGUAUUUUGAUGUUACACUAUUGUAUGAUUUUACUGAACAUAAAAGAGGAUAUUCAUAUAAUAAUGAAAAUUAA